CAGUGCGUCCACUCCACCGCUUGUUCGUUUACGGUCAAGAGGAAAGUCCGGGCAACGUAGGGCACCACGCCGGCUAACGGCCGGGGCUUCUUCCUCGGAAGGGGUACGGAAUAGUGCCACAGAAAGUAUACCGCCACUCCCGGUUCGCCGGGAAGGUAAGGGUGAAAUCGUGGGGUAAGAGCCCACGCCGUCGGGCAGCAAUGUCCGGUGGAGGUAAACCCCGUGGGUUGAAAUACCAAACAGCGUUCUAUGGCCGGCCCGGUCUCCCGAUAGCUAUCGGGAAGGAACGCGGGUAGGUAGAUCGAGCCGGUGAGCAAUUGCCGGCCUAGAUAAAUGGUGGAGCGUCCCGACUCAGUCGGGACCGACAGAACCCGGCUUAUCGGAACGUACUGCACC
rnacentral:RNase_P_RNA from 1 species